rnacentral:rRNA from 1 species
GUGGUAAUGCCGGAUGCUCCGGUUGGAUGCAUGUCCUUCCGGGAAAGAUUCCAUCGGUAUGGGAUGGGGUCGCGUCCUAUCAGCUUGAUGGCGGGGUAACGGCCCACCAUGGCUUCGACGGGUAGCCGGCCUGAGAGGGCGACCGGCCACAUUGGGACUGAGAUACGGCCCAGACUCCUACGGGAGGCAGCAGUGGGGAAUAUUGCACAAUGGGCGCAAGCCUGAUGCAGCGACGCCGCGUGCGGGAUGGAGGCCUUCGGGUUGUAAACCGCUUUUGAUCGGGAGCAAGCCCUUCGGGGUGAGUGUACCUUUCGAAUAAGCACCGGCUAACUACGUGCCAGCAGCCGCGGUAAUACGUAGGGUGCAAGCGUUAUCCGGAAUUAUUGGGCGUAAAGGGCUCGUAGGCGGUUCGUCGCGUCCGGUGUGAAAGCCCAUCGCUUAACGGUGGGUCUGCGCCGGGUACGGGCGGGCUGGAGUGCGGUAGGGGAGACUGGAAUUCCCGGUGUAACGGUGGAAUGUGUAGAUAUCGGAAAGAACACCA